AUUGAACGCUGGCGGCAUGCCUUACACAUGCAAGUCGAACGGAAACGGGCCUUCUGGUGCCGCCGGGUGGCGGACGGGGGCGUAAUACAUCGGAACGUGCCCGAUCGUGGGGGGAAACGAGGCAAAAGCUUUGAUAAUACCUCAUACGAUAUACGGAUGCGAGCAGGGGGACGCAAGGGCUUGCGCGGGCGGUGCGGCCGAUGGUAGAUUGAGUAGUUGGUGGGAUAAAAGUUUACCAAGCAUACGAUUAGAAGCUGGUCUGAGAGGAUGAUCGGCCAGACUGGAACUGAGACACGGCCCAGACUCCUACGGGAGGCAGCAGUGGGGAAUUUUGCACAAUGGGCGCAAGCCUGAUCCAGCCAUGCCGCGUGAAGGAUGAAGGCCUUCGGGUUGUAAACUGCUUUUGUACGGAACGAAAAGCCGUCUUUUAAUACAUGAGGAUCAUGACGGUACCGUAAGAAUAAGCACCGGCUAACUACGUG
rnacentral:rRNA from 1 species